rnacentral:rRNA from 1 species
UAGUUUAGUGGCGGACGGGUGAGUAACACGUGAGCAACCUGCCUUCGAGAGGGGAAUAACGGCUGGAAACGGUCGCUAAUACCGCAUAACAUACAGGAGGGACAUCCCUUUUGUAUCAAAGAUUUAUCGCUCGAAGAUGGGCUCGCGUCCGAUUAGGUAGUUGGUGAGGUAACGGCCCACCAAGCCGACGAUCGGUAGCCGGACUGAGAGGUUGAACGGCCACAUUGGGACUGAGACACGGCCCAGACUCCUACGGGAGGCAGCAG